rnacentral:rRNA from 1 species
UACGUAGGGGCCUAGCGUUGUCCGGAUUUAUUGGGCGUAAAGAGCUCGUAGGCGGUUUGGUGAGUCGGGUGUGAAAUCUCCACGCUCAACGUGGAGGGGCCACCCGAUACUGCCAUGACUAGAGUCCGGUAGGGGAGUGUGGAAUUCCCGGUGUAGCGGUGAAGUGCGCAGAUAUCGGGAGGAACACCCGUGGCGAAGGCGGCUCUCUGGGACGGUACUGACGCUGAGACGCGAAAGCGUGGGGAGCGAACAGG